rnacentral:rRNA from 1 species
AUUGAACGCUGGCGGCAGGCCUAACACAUUCAAGUCGAGCGAGCGGCGGACGGGUGAGUAAUGUAUGGGGACUGCCCGAUAGAGGGGGAUAACUACUGGAAACGGUGGCUAAUACCGCCUACUGUCGGAUAACCCAUAUGGGAUUAGCUUGUAGGUAAGGUAAUGGCUUACCUAGGCGACGAGCCCUAGCUGGUCUUAGAGGAUGGUCAGCCACAAUGGGACUGAGACACGGCCCAGACUCCUACGGAGGCAGCAGUGGGGAAUAUUGCACAAUGGGCGCAAGCCUGAUGCAGCCAUGCCGCGUGUAUGAAGAAGGGCCUAGGGUUGUAAAGUGCUUUCAGUCGGGAGGCGUUACCGACAGAAGAAGCACCGGCUAACUCCGUGCCAGCAGCCGCGGUAAUAC